rfam:Ixodes scapularis strain Wikel colony gcontig_1107729173218, whole genome shotgun sequence.
GCAGUCGUGGCCGAGUGGCUAAGGCGAUGGACUAGAUGGACCGCACAGGUUCGAAUCCUGUCGACUGCG